GGCGCGGCCGCCCAGCCUUUGCCGCAGCGGCCCGGGAGGCGCCCGCUGCGCUGGCCUCUCCGGUGGCGCAGGGACCGCAGCUUCUGGACGCGGGGACGGUGGUCUGUGUGUCUGCGACCCCGCCCGAGUCCGGGGAUCCCUCAUCUUCCGAGUCUGAGAAAGGUCACCUCCGGACACACAAGAGGACUUAGCGAGCAGUUUGGGGAACGGACGGGCUCUCCAAAAUAUGGAUGGAGGUCAUCCUCAUGAGUUCGAGGGGGUUGUGGCUGGAUCAUCCAAGUGACCUGGCCCUGAGGUCCCUGAUAUCCAGGCCUGCAGGUCACCAUGGAAGGACCCAAGUGGACAUGAGGGCGGAGUUCCGAGUAGGGCUACAAAUAAUAUACUGGAAGGGCACCCUGGAGUCCAAACCGGUGGCACCCUGGAGUCCAACACGUAAAAGAGACUUGGGGGUUUGGAGGUGCCCUUUUGUUUUUUGGGUUUUUUUGGAGGGCCAUUCUCAUGAUCCCUCGCCCCUCUCUUUAAGUCUCUGACGUCAUCUACCCCUCUCUCCUCCCACUCCAUUCGGCAAUCCAGGUCCCCUCUCACCCCAGCACAGCAGAGCUCCUUCCUGCCUUGCCCUAGUUCUUCCCUCUGCCUGGACAGAACACUCUCCCCAGGUGAUUAAAGGGCUCAGUCCCUCACCUCCUGAA
rnacentral:lncRNA from 1 species